UUUAACCAAAGAAACACGUUUCCACAACUCUCUCUCUCUCUCUCACGUUUCCUCUCUGUAUUGCACCAACAAAACACUUUUUCUACACUCAAGUCAAGCUCAUUUCCUUCCCUUUCCCACUCUCUAAACCGGUAACCCUCUCUUCUCUUCCAAAUCAACCACUUCUCUCUCUCUCUCCCCCUCUUUCUUUCUCUUCCGCUCUCCUUCUUCUUCCUCCCUCGUCCUUCUUCUUUUUUUCUUUUAUCUGAAAUCUCUUAUCAAUUCAUUUUUUUCCUUAACCCUUCAAGAGUCUCAAUCGAUUUGGGGUUAAGUGGGUGAAUUUGUGAGAGAGAAAUUGAGUUAUUAUACCCUAUUUGUGAGUAUGUUUAUGAUUUUUCAUGGAAAUUUGUAAUUAAACAUGUGAGUUGUUGAGAAGGAGAAAAGGAAGCUCAGAGGUUUCAUUGUUGAGAAGAGAUGUGUUCCUCUUAUGCUCCUUUUGGCAUAAGUUCUAUUUUGUAGAAUCAUUUUUGUGAUUUUUUUUUUGUUGUAUAAUUAAUCAUAAAUAAUUAAUCAAUUUGUAGAAUCGUUUAUGUGAUCUUUUUGCAAUGAUUUGUUUUUUUGUGAAUAUUUUUUGGGAUGAUUUGGAUGCAAUUUUGUUUGGUUUGAUAAUUUGUGUGAUUUUUUUUAUGUGAUGAAUUGUAUAAUUUUUUUUGUAACCAACUGAAUGUAUUUUUAUGAUGAAUUGUGUGUGGUUUUUUUUUUUGUUAUGAUUUGUGUGUGAUGAAUUGUUUGUGUAGAUCCCACUCUGCUGAAACUUUUGAUUCAAAGACAAAGACUGGUGGUCUGUUCAGAACCAUCAAGCACCAAGUUGAUCUUGCUCAUGGUGCUGGUAUUGGGUGCUAACAACGGUCUUGAUAUUGUUGUUAGGCUUGUGGAGCUUCUUAAGGAACAAUUCCCAAUCAUUAGCUAUUCUGAUUUUUAUCAGCUUGAGGCAUCACAAGUUUGAGUUUGAGGCCGAUUUAAAGAGAUGGAUCUAAUAAUGAGUAUUUCUGGAAUCACAGAUGCAUGUUAUAGCAGCUCGCAGUUGUGGUUGCCUGCAGUGGCUCGAAUCCUACUCUAGAUUCAAAGUAAUGAUGGUGACAAGUUCGAUGAGUCUAUACAACCGAGCCUAUGAACAUACAAUAUGGAAUUUGACAUCUCCAAUGUCUCUGAGUUUUUUGGGUGUUGGCUGCCUUUCAUGUUGUUUCAUUUCAUGCAGCUUUGUGUUGUGCACUGCAGGUCCAUUGUGAAUUUUCCCUGCCUGAGUUGGUUUUCCGGCUAUCUGCGUAUCUACCGUUUUGUCAAGAUUUGAGAUUUUAAACUUUAUUUUGAACUAUUUACCCAAUUGCGCAAAAAGGGUGAGAAAAUCAUGCAUAUGUUCAAAAGGCUCCAGGACCUCCGAUUUUUUUUGAAGAAUGCUCAACUUAUGAGGUAUAGAAAUCCAGUGAUGCAGAUUUUUACUAGAGUGAACUAAUGAGUUGCAGAUGAACCAACUUGAAUCACAUAAGCUAGAAAAAAAAGCUCAAAUUGAGAUGACUUCAUAUGGAAAAGAUGACUGUAGGUUUGGUAACUCUGUUAGUGGUGUGCUUGAAGUGAGGAUAGAUAUAGAGGACUCUACUUGCUUUGCAUUGAUGCUACUGUUAAGUUGUCUCAUGUCGGCGUGAUGUGGUUGAAGUUGCUACUGCCAUGCACUUAUGUUAAAGACACUAACGAGAAUGCACCAAUCAAGACAGACUUGAUUUUUCUUCUCAUACAACAUUCAAGCAAGGAGGAUAGGAAAGGAGACUAUUGAAGGUGAUUCAAACAAUAAGGAUGAUGUGAUUGGGACUAAUUCAGGUUAGAAUUCAACUAGCAAGUCAUUGUGGAAGAAACAUACUAUGAUAAUUUGGACACAUUAGGUGUGAUUGAUCUUGAUGAAUACGAUGCAUCUACCACAAAAGAGCGAAAAAUUCCAUCUGUUAAAGAUUGAAGAAACUAUGUCGUUGAUAUGUUGGAGGAUUUGAUAUUAGUGGUUGUGUUCUGCAUUCAUAUGUUUUGUUGUCCUUUUGUGAAUUUGAAAGUUUCUUAUGAAUUUCUUUUAGUUAUCUGAUAUGGAGGAUUGUUUUUUUUUUUAGCAUUUUUCCUUUGUUUUGAUGAUUUUUGUUUAGGUACGCAUGAACUAUACCAUUUAUCAGUCCUUGCAAUCAUUUGAGGAUCA